ensembl:lncRNA
GUUUCCCUUCGGUGUCCCCCUCAGCCCCUCACAGACGCCCCUCCGCGUCCCCUCUCGGCCCCCAGCGGCACGGAGGCACGGCUCUGCCUGCUACUCCCGGUGUGGGCCGCUGGGGCCGUGCCAGGCCGUGCCCGGCCUCUCCCACACGGCCUGGAGAAAGCGCAGAGGCCGCAGGGCCGGGGCUGUGCUGCGCGUCUCCUCGUCGUCCCCCCGCAGUGCCCGGCUUCCCUCAGCCCAUCCUCCCCCUCUGCCUGCUGCUGCCCGGGCAGUGGAUCCCCUGCGGCAGCCCCUCGCGCCCUGUCAGAGCACCGCUCCAGCUGGUGACCCCAGGCCCCGGGCUAAGCAGCCUGCAGGAGGCCGUGGCCGUGCUGAGGGGCUUCUUUUCACAGAUCCAACGUGCCCAGCCCGCUGCCAGCACUGCCGUGCACGAGGGCUGCUCUCAGGCACCGGAGCCAUGGCGCCAGGCGGUGGCGGAGGCUCCCGGCUUCAGAAACACCUGCACUCUGUCUAGACAGACUUCCCUGGCCAAAACAGAGACCACACACCAGUGGGGGACGGGCUGAAGGAGGGCACUGAUACCGCACCGAGGAUGCGGAUGAAAUCCAUAAGCUGGGACAGAUCAAUCAGCAGCUCUGCGUUGGUUUAAAGGAGAUCUAUAACGACACCUUUAGCAAAGGGCAAGCCUGUCUUCUGUUUACGGCCCAACUCGUAUUCAUU